GAUGAACGCUGGCGGCGUGCCUAAUACAUGCAAGUCGAGCGAAUGGAUUAAGAGCUUGCUCUUAUGAAGUUAGCGGCGGACGAGUGAGUAACACGUGGGUAACCUGCCCAUAAGGCUGGGAUAACUCCGGGAAACCGGGGCUAAUACCGGAUAACAUUUUGAACCGCAUGGUUCGAAAUUGAAAGGCGGCUUCGGCGGUCACUUAUGGAUGGACCCGCGUCGCAUUAGCUAGUUGGUGAGGUAACGGCUCACCAAGGCAACGAUGCGUAGCCGACCUGAGAGGGUGAUCGGCCACACUGGGACUGAGACACGGCCCAGACUCCUACGGGAGGCAGCAGUAGGGAAUCUUCCGCAAUGGACGAAAGUCUGACGGAGCAACGCCGCGUGAGUGAUGAAGGCUUUCGGGUCGUAAAACUCUGUUGUUAGGGAAGAACAAGUGCUAGUUGAAUAAGCUGGCACCUUGACGGUACCUAACCAGAAAGCCACGGCUAACUACGUGCCAGCCGCCGCGGUAA
rnacentral:rRNA from 1 species